rnacentral:lncRNA from 1 species
CUGGGAUGUUAGAUGAAAGAGUACUAUUAUUUUUUUUUUCUAUUACUUUUUUAGGAUAUAUGGUCCAUUUCAGGAGAAAAAAAAUAAUCAUUUAAAACUCUAGCUAUAGAUAAACUAAUAUGGAAUAUUUGUUUUCACAUAUUUUAAGGAGAUUUUUAAAGUUUCAGAAAACUGGUCAAUAAUUCUUAAUGUAAAGCAUAAGCAGAAGUGGAUUUUUUAUUUUUUUAAGAUUCAAACAACUCUCUGAAUUCUCUGAAAUCCAAGGAGUCCACAAGAAACUAUUCAAAUGCUCAAUAAUUCUGCAGAUAUUUACAGUUCCAUCAUGUAUUCUUCACAGUGCUUGGUACAGUAGACCAAGUGAAUUUUCACUACUAAAUGGGACUAUUAAGGAAUGCUUUGUAGAAGAAAAUGAAAUCCAUUUAAGGCUCUGUAGAUGGCAGAGGAAAAGAAUAUUCCAAAUGAAAUGUCACAGGUAUGAGGGACAGGUUGAAGAAUGACAUGAUUAUAAUGUGCAUAAUAUGUUGGAAAAUGUAAAAUCAACAUAUAAUGCCAAGGUCUAGUACCACAUAAAUGUUAAGGAAUUUUUAUAGCAACUUUUGGAGAUAAGAGUCAUUAUUAUCUGAAUGGAGGUGGCUAAAAGUUAAGGAUAAACUUCAUGAUAUAUCAGAAAUAUUUAAUGGAUCACUUUCUGCAUCUAUACAUGACAGGGUUCAUUGUGUAGAGGAUUUUCAGGAAGCACAUGUAAGGAGAAAAGAGGGAGAAAAAGGAAGGAAUAGCCACAAAUUAGAGUAUAUGUCAAUAUUUUCAAGUAUUUGGACCACACACAAUAGGCAAAAUGGUACCACUGAAUGGCCUCUUUGAUGGUAUUUGCUAUCUCUACAAUAAGAUGUGUUGAUAACAUUAAUCUUUUGUGACUGACUGACUUACCGGGUUAAAUAAUUUCUUUUAGGAUUGGAGUUGAGUUUCAGAAAUAAUUUAUUUUGAUAGCAUACCAAUUGUUUAUUUUCAUAUUACUCAGGGUAGCAGAAAAUACAAAAUAGUGUUUCAAAAUAGUUGAGGAACAGAGCAGAGAAUUCAGAAACAGACUCAUACAUUUAUGAUCAGUUGAGUUGCAACACUCACAAAGAGUAUAAAACACUUGACAAUAAAAAAGGAAUGAACUGACUGGCUCAAAAACAUGGAUAGAUCUCAAAAAUAAUAUGCUGAGUGAAAGAAACCAGGCACAAAAAAGAACAUACUGCAUAAUCCUAUUUAUGUGAAGUAGAGAACAGUCAAAGCUAAUAUAUAGUGAUAGAAAUCAGAUCAGUGUUUUGCCUGGGGUAGAAAGUAACAAUCGACUACCUGGAGAUACCAGAGAAAUUUCUGGGAUUAUGGGAAUAUUCUAUAUCUUAUUUGGAGUCAUGGUUACACUGUAUAUACUAGUUUCCUAGGCCCACCAUCACUAAGUGUUAGAAACUGAGUUGCUUAGACAGCAGAAACUACUGUUUCACAAUGCUGGCAGCUGGAAAUCUAAGAUCAAGGUGUCAGCAGAGCCAUGUUUCCUCUGAAGGCACUAAAAGUUCUGACCAAGGCCUUUCUCCAA